rnacentral:rRNA from 1 species
AUUGAACGCUGGCGGCAUGCCUAACACAUGCAAGUCGAACGGUAACAGGCCCUUCGGGGUGCUGACGAGUGGCGGACGGGUGAGUAACGCUUAGGAAUCUACCUAGUAGUGGGGGAUAACCCGGGGAAACUCGGGCUAAUACCGCGUACGCCCUACGGGGGAAAGCGGGGGACUUUCGGGCCUCGCGCUAUUAGAUGAGCCUAAGUCCGAUUAGCUAGUUGGUAGGGUAAUGGCCUACCAAGGCGACGAUCGGUAGCGGUCUGAGAGGACGACCAGCCACACUGGGACUGAGACACGGCCCAGACUCCUACGGGAGGCAGCAGUGGGGAUAUUGGACAAUGGGCGCAAGCCUGAUCCAGCGAUGCCGCGUGUGUGAAGAAGGCCUGCGGGUUGUAAAGCACUUUC